UUAAGGAGCAAUUUGAGGUCUUUAGGUUUAAGGAGCAAUUUGUUUGUUUGUAACUAGAAAAAUUUCUUUGAGUCCUGAAGCUCUUUGACCUAUGUUGUGUUUUUUAAUUUUUGCAAUACUGUAUGAAAUAGAUGUCAUAACAAUGCUGGAGGAAUUAAGCACAUCCUGUGUAACUCUAUUGGGAGAGGACUCUUCAGAGCCAGUCUUUGGUUUCCUCUGGACUUUGCGCCAUACCCUUGUUUCCUUCGCCGGGAUGCUGUCCUUCCUCCUAAGCCAUGGCCCUUUCAGGGUGUCAAUGGAAAACCAGAGUGUUUACUAGACGCCUCUUACUGGAAUUUGAAUUUCAAACUCCAUUCGUCCAG